rnacentral:rRNA from 1 species
UACGUAGGGUGCAAGCGUUGUCCGGAAUUAUUGGGCGUAAAGAGCUCGUAGGCGGUCUGUCACGUCGGCUGUGAAAACCCGAGGCUCAACCUCGGGCCUGCAGUCGAUACGGGCAGACUAGAGUUCGGUAGGGGAGACUGGAAUUCCUGGUGUAGCGGUGAAAUGCGUAGAUAUCAGGAGGAACACCGGUGGGCGAAGGCG